AAGUGGCUUUUCCACCCAUGGUAUUGUGGUGGUCAUAAUAGCACACCUCACAAUUAUUAUGGCCAGAUCUACAAGCACUGAGCGUUGUGUUUUUUAGCCCCCUCUGUUUCUCCUGGGCAUCAAUCUAUGCGCAACAAGCUCUUCAGUGCUUGAUGACAAAUAAAGGUUGCAUCUUAGAUAUUUGCUUGAUUUGAAUGAGCCAUUUUGCUGUCAGCUAAACUGUUAAAAGUCAGAUGUAAGAUUAUGUUUCUUGGCACAUGAGUUAUUUUUCAGUCAACGCGUGGCGAGUCCACUUCGAACUGAUAUAUGCACUUUUUAUUUGAAACUGAACCACCAUGGUUUAAUUUUAUUUUCAUUUGGACAAGUUACCCCAAGUAUCAUCAGUUCAUGAUGACUGGUUUGGUGUGAUGAAUUGAUCCUGGUGCUGAUUUAAGAGUUUUUUAUGACGCUGUCUUGUAAGGGAGUAAGGUCUGGUAUCUAUAUGGCUGUUAUUUUAGCUCUUACAGAUUGCCAUAUAUGACAUGCUAAUUGUUUUUAGCUCUUGAUAUAGUUAAACUUUUUUUUUUGAAACGGAGGCAAAAGAUUUGCCUCAUCCAUUAAAUGGGAGGAGAAUAGAGUUAAACUUUGGAUGCACCAGUGCCUGAUGCAUAUGUUUGUUUACUUGGUUUGAACUCUGAAUGAUAUGUUGUUAUCCUGCACGCAUGCCUGAUGAGUUGGUGCUGCUGGUAUUUUGAGGAGGCAAGUUGUGGUUUUACUCCUGGCCCUGAGAAGGGUGAACUAGGCCAUAGCGAGGGCGCCUUCAGGAACAUCGAGUCAGGGUGCCUCACUUUCUAUUUCAGUCUGCGAGAUCUCGACACACCCUGAACAAUGAGCACAUGUUACCAGCCACAUUCCACACAGGAUGUGUUCUUUUCAAAACAAAGAUACCCUGAUACAUGAUUAUUCCUCUUUCAAGUUCUUGAUCCUUGAAGAUACUUGCUAGGUUUCUAGCUGAUUUUUUGGUAGUAUAAGGCUAUAAGCUCGAUGUAUAUGGCCUGAAUAUGAUCUGAUUCAGAGUACAUUGUGUUCUGAAGCUUUUUACUGUAUGGUUCUCUCUUGAAAGAAUUCAAGCCAUUGUUCAAUGGGAGAGAAUAGUUGUAAUCCUCAAAUAACUGUCGUACCUAUUCAUCAGCUGACACAAUUGCCACCGAGAUCAUUAUUUUCCUUUUUUUUUCAGGUUUUCAACAUCACGAAUUUCAUACUUAUGGAGUGGAGCUACCAAAAUAUCUAUUGAGGAAAUAUGUCGAAGCACAGAAUAUAUUCCAUAUGCAGUGGACUAA